UUGCUUCAGCAGCACAUACACUAAAAUUGGAACAAUACAGAGAAGAUUAGCAUGGGCCCUGCCGCAAGGAUGACAUGCAAAUUCGAGAAGUGCUCCAUAUUUAA